GGGGAAUUGUUCGCAAUGGGCGCAAGCCUGACGACGCAACGCCGCGUGGAGGACGAAGAUCUUCGGGUCGUAAACUCCUGUCGAGUGGGAAGAAUGGAUCGAGGGUGAAUAAUCCUCGGUAUUGACGGUACCACUAAAGGAAGCCCCGGCUAACUCCGUGCCAGCAGCCGCGGUAAUACGAAGGUGGCAAGCGUUGUUCGGAUUCACUGGGCGUACAGGGUGUGUAGGCGGUUUGGUAAGCCUUCUGUUAAAGCUUCGGGCCCAACCCGGAAAGCGCAGAGGGUACUGCCAGGCUAGAGGGCGGGAGAGGAGCGCGGAAUUCCCGGUGUAGCGGUGAAAUGCGUAGAGAUCGGGAGGAAGGCCGGUGGCGAAGGCGGCGCUCUGGAACGUACCUGACGCUGAGACACGAAAGCGUGGGGAGCAAAC
rnacentral:rRNA from 1 species